rnacentral:misc_RNA from 1 species
AAAACGCCCGACCACAUGUGAUUCUCUCGCGUCAUUAAGCAGAAUGUAAAGACGCGUAUUUCGCAUUUCUUCGCAUUUUGCGUUUUUUUUUCACUCGAGCGAAAAUUCCAUCUGUUUCGGAGAAUAACAACGUUAAAUACCAAAAGAAUCAUUCGUUUGUCACGCUGCCGAAUUCGAUGAAUCCUCACCGAUUUUCACUUCGAAAUGGCACGAUUUAUUUCGCUAAGUCACACCCAUUAAUCCUCGCGAAUUUCUUUCCGGUUACAGUAGCUAUAACAAAAAAGAUGGGAAAAGGGUGCGUUUGGCCCAUUCCCACGCGGAACAGGAAUCCCUUGGAAAUGCGUGGGGGGGUCCACCAACAAAAUUAUGGAUCGAGGCAACGCGAGGGUUCACGUCUGCGCAGGACUAUCGUCGGGUUAUCCCAGCCGUUGUAUACGCAUACACGCACACGCGAAACACGGUCGUGUAAGCUCUCUCUCCUGGAGAAUUUCUUUCAAGAGAUCUCCUUCUCGCGCGAGUUUACCAAUAACGCUGAUGCUCGGAAUACGAGAAUAUUUGUUCGCUCCGUGAAUGUAAUUCUGCGACGAUCGUUCCGAAGGAAUAAUAAUCACAGGGGCACGGACUCGAUAAUACUUGAUAAAAAUAUGGGCGAGAAAACGUUCAAUCUUACUUGGAAUAAUCAUCUGGCGAAUCUGUCGGGUUUGUUUGAGGCUCUUUACAAAAGCGGUUCCUUGACGGACGCAACUUUAGCUUGCCAGGGUGGUAUGCUGAGGGCUCAUAGACUCGUCCUAGCAGCAUGUAGCCCUUACUUCGAAAGAGUAUUCAAAGAACACUAUGGAGAGCAGCCCAUUCUCAUUUUGAAAGGCGUUGCCGUCGAAGAAAUGGAAUGCCUCCUGGACUUCAUGUAUAGAGGCUCUAUUGACGUAGCCGAAGAGCAUCUUCCUUCAUUGAUAAAAACUGCAACCGAUCUGGAGAUACGUGGUCUUUCUGGGGAACAGAAAAAUCCGGAGAAUAAUCGUAAUCUCUACACCAGAGUCGAGACGCGAAUGCAACGGUGUCACAUUGAAACCAGAGUACACACUACCGAAUAUAUAAAGGAACCAUCGGUGAUUCCUUUCCUACCGAAUCACUCGAACGUCGAUUCGAUGGACGAUCAUUUUAAAGUAGAAGAAAUUGAGGUGGAGGACGAUCCGAUGGUAAUCGAUGGGCACGAGGACAGCUUUGACGAACUUCCGCGAUCCACGGAAACGCAAAUUAAGCGUAUUCCACCUCCAAUGUACAAGCGGGAAACUAGAUUCAAAGGGCAAAAAAGAGUGGCCGUCGGUCGUGUGACGCGGAACAGCGAUCCUCCGGAAUCUAAGUCGAAGAAUUCCUCACGCGAAUCAAGCUACGAAGAUUCCUCGAAAAUCAUCAAAUACGAACCUAAUUUCAACGAUGGAUCUAUGGAUGUCACUGUAUCCGGCGUACAGGAAACUUCAAGUUUGGACGAACCAAAGUUAGGAAUAAAGAGAGAACUCGAGGUUUUGAAGAGAACCGGAGGAAACGAGGGAAAAGAAACAAGGACCUUCAACAAAUCCGAUCGUGCACAGCAUAAGCCUUUCUCGUGCGACCUUUGUACGUUGGCCUUCACAAGAGCGUCGCACUUAGCGAGGCACAGAAGGGUACAUACAGGCGAGAGGCCCUUCGCCUGUAGCAUCUGCCCGCGAAUGUUCGCCAGACAAGACAAGCUGAAACAACAUCUGGAUUCGCACUUGCAAUGGCCGAAAAGAAAAAGUAACCAGACAGUACCUUCGUUGCCGACAAAGAGCAAGCGCGGUAGACCGCGUAAGGUUAAUGUGGAGCAAUCUGCAAUGGAAGAGAUUUUAAAAUUCGGCGAGUUUAGCUCUCUACUAAACAAGUCACAUUCAGCGAACUCAACGAAUAAGAGUGACAGUUCUGAUAACGCUAAGAAUGACGAUGAAAAGAAAGAAGCGCAUCAAAGCGAGGACGAGUCGCUCAGGGAAAAGGAUAACCGUGCUUGCCAGGUCGAAAAUGGCCAGGACAUCGUUUAAUAGAAUCUUCUUGUGCAAUCUGGAUUUAAAUAUUCGUAAGACAUAUUUUUCUACGCAUUUGCGAGAACCGAAGAUCGAUGCAACACAAAGGAAGAAAACCUAUCGAGCUUUUCCAAAAGAUCAUGGUAUCCUUUUCCGGUUGAUUCAUAAUAAGGCUUAUAAUAUCUUCUCGUCCCGAUUGCAAAAGUCAAGAGCACUCGCGUCGCUUUUAUUGCGAAUUGUUUAACGGUAAGAUCGAGAGUAUACGGAAGGAUGCAAAGAGCACAAAAGCUUUGAGUACUCGGGAAAACAUUUGAGUCACCGAACUGAUGAUUAGACGAAUCAAACUCGAUGAGAGUAAAUGGACCCGACUUGACUUUGUUCUUUGUGAGUACCCGCACAUCCUUAGCAUAAAUGAACAGGCCUAGAGUUCUUUUAAGAUUUAUUCAGAUUUAAGACGCAUAUAGCGUGUUUUUUUAAAUAGAUUUUACGAUUUGUGCAAUGCCAUUAGUAAUGCCGUUUAUCGCGAACGUUCGCGGAUUGAUCCUAAUUAUAACUGCAUUCGAGAACGUUCGUACGGCAUGUGUCGAAAAAUCGUGUGGUGUCUAUAUCUUUAUAAUUGGUUAUAAUUGUUGUAUAAUUGGUUGUUGUUGUGCAAAUUGCAUUCAGUUUUGUUAAAUGGCUGUUGUUCGAUAUCACGGACAUUGUUCAGCUGAUCAUGUCCACGAUUAUAUCCUUUUCGCUGGCAACGUGCAAUUUCUUUUCAGUGAUAGUAUAUUCUGGUCGCUAUCGAAUAAGUGACGAGGUGCAAAAAGGUUCAUAUCUUACAUUCUAUGUAAUGUGUAGCGCGUGUAAAUAAAUUUUUGAGUGAAAG